AACUUUGAGGUAGAAGGCAGUUCAACAGAUAACCUGGUCCUGUGCCAUAAAUGGUUUUAAAGGUAAUAACCAUCGCUUUGAAUUACACCCAGA